rnacentral:rRNA from 1 species
UACAGAGGAUGCAAGCGUUAUCCGGAAUGAUUGGGCGUAAAGCGUCUGUAGGUGGCUUUUUAAGUCCGCCGUCAAAUCCCAGGGCUCAACUCUGGACAGGCGGUGGAAACUACCAAGCUGGAGUACGGUAGGGGCAGAGGGAAUUUCCGGUGGAGCGGUGAAAUGCGUAGAUAUCUGGAGGAAUACCGGUGGCGAAGGCGGCAUCCUGGACCGGCAUUGACGCUGAGGAGCGAAAGCUAGGGGAGCAAACGGG